AGUCGAGGGGCAUCAGGGAGAAAGCUUGCUUUCUUUGCUGGCGACCGGCGCACGGGUGAGUAACACGUAUCCAACCUGCCCUUUNCUCGGGGAUAGCCUUUCGAAAGAAAGAUUAAUACCCGAUAGCAUAAUGAUUCCGCAUGGUUUCAUUAUUAAAGGAUUCCGGUAAAGGAUGGGGAUGCGUUCCAUUAGGUUGUUGGUGAGGUAACGGCUCACCAAGCCUUCGAUGGAUAGGGGUUCUGAGAGGAAGGUCCCCCACAUUGGAACUGAGACACGGUCCAAACUCCUACGGGAGGCAGCAGUGAGGAAUAUUGGUCAAUGGGCGUUAGCCUGAACCAGCCAAGUAGCGUGAAGGAUGAAGGCUCUAUGGGUCGUAAACUUCUUUUAUAUAAGAAUAAAGUGCAGUAUGUAUACUGUUUUGUAUGUAUUAUAUGAAUAAGGAUCGGCUAACUCCGUGCCAGCAGCCGCGGUAAUACGGAGGAUCCGAGCGUUAUCCGGAUUUAUUGGGUUUAAAGGGAGCGUAGGUGGACUGGUAAGUCAGUUGUGAAAGUUUGCGGCUCAACCGUAAAAUUGCAGUUGAUACUGUCAGUCUUGAGUACAGUAGAGGUGGGCGGAAUUCGUGGUGUAGCGGUGAAAUGCUUAGAUAUCACGAAGAACUCCGAUUGCGAAGGCAGCUCACUGGACUGCAACUGACACUGAUGCUCGAAAGUGUGGGUAUCAAACAGGAUUAGAUACCCUGGUAGUCCACACAGUAAACGAUGAAUACUCGCUGUUUGCGAUAUACAGUAAGCGGCCAAGCG
rnacentral:rRNA from 1 species